UACGGAGGGUGCAAACGUUGCUCGGAAUCAUUGGGCGUAAAGCGCACGUAGGCGGUCCAGCAAGUCGGGUGUGAAAUCCCUCGGCUUAACCGAGGAAGUGCAAACGAAACUACUGGACUUGAAUACUGAAGAGGAUCGCGGAAUUCCCGGUGUAGAGGUGAAAUUCGUAGAUAUCGGGAGGAACACCAGUGGCGAAGGCGGCGAUCUGGGCAGAUAUUGACGCUGAGGUGCGAAAGCGUGGGGAGCAAACAGG
rnacentral:rRNA from 1 species